CACUAUAGUUACACCCGCCAGCUCGCUGCUGCAAAUGAGAAUGCCAUAAACGACCGUUAUAUUGGAGCGACUCAGACAACUUGGAUUUGACGGAUUGAUGUGUUUCAUUGCAGGUAAAUGAAAGCGCUGAAUCCAGUGCUCAUUUUUUGUAGUUCAUGUCGCACACCCUUUCAGUGUUAUCGACGUUUCAAUUUACUUUCAGUGUUUAUUGUGUAUUUUGCAGCCAAAGGGAGACAUCGAGGUGAGCUAGUGGAGCUAACUUUAGCGGAGCUAACUAGCCAGCUAAGUCAGCAUGGAAGAAUUGGAUGAUGUCGCAGUGUCGAUUUUAAGGGCUGCAAACAUCACAGAGACAAUCAUGGGCACCCUGUCUCGUGAAGACUUGCGGGAUCUUUUCCCAGGCCCAGAGAACUUUUUACGCAGAAAAGCGGUCUGGCGUGUCUGUCAUGGUGCGUCGGAGGAGGAGUCUGGCCAAGAACACUCACAAUUAUCGGGCAGUUCCUCCUUUAAUGCGUCACCCAUGCGACAGACUUCCACUCCAGUGAACGCAAGUCCUGCAAGGUACACAACCCCUGAAAAGGUUGUGAAGUUAUCCUUUCCAGAAUAUGUAUUGCACACCGACACAGAACUUGAGCAAGUCCGACAACAAUACUUUGAGCUGUCGAAGAAAGGCGAACAGCGCAACUGCCAGAUGUCUAAGGAGCUCAGAUGUCGCCUCAUUCAAAAUACCAUGACCAGUAUGAUUGCAAUCCUGAGAGCAAAGGGGGAUGGAGAAUCGCACAGAUACCCAUCAAAGCCAGAAAUUACAGCUAUGGCAAAGAGAAUAGUACUGUACUACCCCAUGCUGCAGGACCAAGGCCUCCAUACAUGGGUCACUGUGUAUGCACAGCUAUACAAAAGAUUGCAAAAUGUGAGAUCUCCCCAAAAAAGAACUCCAGAUGGGAGACAUUCAAAGAGCUCUACGAAGAGGCGCUGUCUUGAGCAGCCAACAGACACAGAUGAAAUCGAUUUAAGUGACUCAACAAUCAUUCUAGAUCGAUCCACAGAAGGAAGUGUCAGCCCAGGCUCAGACAGUAAAGAAAGUGAGUUAGAAGGACAAAUAAGAUCCCAGAGCCUACCUAAAGAAGCACCCUCUGCCCUGUCUAGUCUUGAUGCUAACAUGUCUGCAGAUGUUGACAGUCCAGACACCUACAGUCCAGCAACCAUGGCAAAGCACUACGAGACACUACAAACUUUGUAUUAAAGAAAAAAUCCAAACCACCAGGAUGUCUCUCAUCUCUUGGAUUUAGAAUUUGUGGCCAGAAGAGCAUUCAUUGAUUCAAAUACCAUUCGCGAGGAGGACAGACACAAGAAGGUUCUUGAAGCAUAUCCUUGUUUCAAGGAUGUUGGACAUGCGAUGGAGGAACUUCAACGCAUUUUGGAUAAGGACAAUACCAACUUCAUCGAUGAACUGAAGGAAAGAUGGCAAGACUUCUGCCAGAAGGUGCAGUUUUUUGGUCUUUGGAAGAAGGUGCUGAAACCCCCAAUAGGAAUGGACAAAGGUAGGGAAUGCUGUUUUGGUAUUAUUAGUGAUUAGGGGGGACUUCAGGCAUGUUAAUUGUCAAGUACAUGAGCUAGUGUUUUGUCAUUCUUCUUUUUCAUCUAUGAUGGCUAUCCCAUAUUUGAUGAAUCUUUGUUUUUUUUAAGCAUUGUGUCUGUUGUAUACAUUUUGAUCAGAUUUAACCUUGUGCACUCUGUCCAAGGGUUUAACCUC